rnacentral:lncRNA from 10 species
GCAUGAGCCACUGUGCCUGGCCUCCACUCAGACUUUUUAAACAAGCUAUAUAAGCUCAAUCCUUGUUUUAGACUCUUCUCAAGCUCAGAUUUUCACUGAUUAUCAGUUCAUACUUGGCUGAGACUAGGAUUCCUGAAUCCUCAACCUCCUUCCAUAAUUACAGCCACCCCCAGAGACUCAAGACCAACUUAUCCAUUACAGGGUCUAGUGUCCAAAAUAUGUUUAGAAGUUCAGAAAAUGUUUUUAUUUCUUUUAAGAUCAAAGAGAAAAAUAUUUUAGGUCCUAAAAAUUUAAAAAUAAUAUAAAUAUAUUUGUCCUUACACCAACACGUCAUAAAAUAUAAUUUUUAAUACUUUUUAUAGAGGAAGAGGGUCAAUAAAGUCAAUAGUACCUAAGGCCCAUUAAAAUCAUGAUUUAGCCCUACUGAGUGCCUGAAAAGUGAUUUGGGCACAGACAACAAGGAAAAGGAGCAGAAUUGUCUCAUUACCCUGGAGUCUCAAUGGAGCCCUUGGUGAGAGAGCUGAACCAUGUGAGCAAUUCAAGUAGUGCUUUUGUCCCUCUUGUCUAAGGGACUGUAUCACGACCAGACCGAAACUUCUCUCACUCUUUUUUCUCAGGUGUUUAUGGUGACUGUCAGCAACCCACUUCACCUCACCAUCUACCAAAUAAAAUUGCUUCUAUUACUAGUAACUAACAACAAGUUUCAUACUCUAAUCCCUCACCUCUUUACAUGCAAACAGCAGCAUAUUAAAUGAUAUUUCUCAGAUGGGCCCAUUGCUCCAAGUCAGAUGCAUGGCCCUUCACAAAGUUCACACCCAUGGUCUCAAGUGAACAGGGCAAACUGGGCAACAACCUCUUCAGACCUAGGGAAAGACCCAAAAAUCACCCUCCUAACCUAACUGGAAAACACAGAACACUCCCUUAUAGCAGGUGAGUGUCACACAAUCCAUUCACAGAAUAGAAGUGGGUAAAUCCAUGCUUGCUUAUAUUUCCAAACAUGUUUAGAGCCAUCAUGUACGAGCAGAAUGCAUUCUGGGGCAAAGGGGAAAAUGGAAAAGUUCAGAAAUCCAUCUAGAAGAAAUAGGAUCCGUUGGUUGAAUCCAUACAUGCAGAACCCACAGAUAUGGAAAGCCAAAUGUGUAUCCAGGAGUAUUAUCUGUAUGGGCCAUUGAAUACAUAGAACUUAAUGUGACUUAAAACAUUAUAUUAUAAAUUAAUUUAGCAUCUAAAUGUAUGUUAAAUUAUAAGCGGACUCUUAUUUUUUAAAUAAACAAAUAAUCAUG